UGGGGAAUUUUGGACAAUGGGCGAAAGCCUGAUCCAGCAAUGCCGCGUGUGUGAAGAAGGCCUUCGGGUUGUAAAGCACUUUUGUCCGGAAAGAAAUGGCUCUGGUUAAUACCUGGGGUCGAUGACGGUACCGGAAGAAUAAGGACCGGCUAACUACGUGCCAGCAGCCGCGGUAAUACGUAGGGUCCAAGCGUUAAUCGGAAUUACUGGGCGUAAAGCGUGCGCAGGCGGUUGUGCAAGACCGAUGUGAAAUCCCCGAGCUUAACUUGGGAAUUGCAUUGGUGACUGCACGGCUAGAGUGUGUCAGAGGGGGGUUAGAAUUCCACGUGUAGCAGUGAAAUGCGUAGAGAUGUGGAGGAAUACCGAUGGCGAAGGCAGCCCCCUGGGAUAACACUGACGCUCAUGCACGAAAGCGUGGGGAGCAAACAGGAUUAGAUACCCCGGUAGUCCACGCCCUAAACGAUGUCAACUAGUUGUUGGGGAUUCAUUUCCUUAGUAACGUAGCUAACGCGUGAAGUUGACCGCCUGGGGAGUACGGUCGCAAGAUUAAAAGCUUAAAGUGAUUUGACGGGGGCU
rnacentral:rRNA from 1 species